rnacentral:lncRNA from 1 species
CUUUAUUCAAAUAGAUCGCACAGCAGAGGGACCUCCAAGGCAGACAUCAGGAGAAACGGAGUCAAAGCAAGAUGUGCCCCAGAGACCUCCUUGGGCGAGUGGAUUAGGCAACUCUAAGAGGGCUAAACAAGAGGAUCCAAGAAAUAGAGGCAUAGAAGAGGCCCACACGGCUUCUCCGGAAAAACAUCCUCACUCGAAGCCUCCAGUU